AUGGCAACCAUCUGGGAAAAAGUUGGGAAGGUUCUGGAUGGAUUUGGCCUGCUGGAAAAGCUCUUACAUGAGAAACCUGCCGAAGAUGCAUUGAGAAAUGAGUUCGGACAUCUACGUCUGCAAUUUCACACAGAAGACAAGGGAGAUGCAGGUGUGAUUUUCACUACUUUUACCCGUACUGAUGGGACCGUCCGCAUAUUAUCCAACCUGAACGGGUAUUGGAAGCGCGGCUCGGACUCAGAUGAUUGGGUUUCAGUUGCGCACAUAAAAGACCCCCUCCGCGACAACGACCCUCACACAUUAUUUGAGGUGGUCACCGGGGAUGGCUUCAUUGCACUCCGGAAUCUGGGCAACAAGAAAUUCUGCAAAAGGUUAAGCGCAGACGGGGAGUCAGAUUGCCUCAGUGCUUCCGACGAGAACAUAUCCCAAUGUGCAAGGUUGAUGGUGGAAGAGCCGGUUGAUAAAUGUGAGAUCUAUGAUGAAAAGUACCACCUGGAGGAAGCAAGGAUUUACAACAAGCAGAUUAUAAACGUGGCCACUGAUUACAGCACCAACGACACAAACAAAGAGAUGAAAGCCAAGUUUUCCUUCGUCAAGAAAAUUGAAGUGGCCAGCAAGUGGGAAACCAGCGCUUCAUCCAAGCAAGGAACCGAUGCCAAGAUAAGCUUCGGCACCGGCGGGGAGAAACCACCGAUAAUUGUAGGUGGAGAAGUUACAUUCUCCUAUGAGUCCUCUUCAUCACAUGCCAAGGGAACAUCAGAAACCAACACGGAGGAGACAACGGUCACGCAGGAGUAUGAUAUCCCUUCGAAGACUACAAUCGCAGCAAAGCUGAUUGGAAUGCGAGCUUGCUGUGACGUGCCCUAUUCAUACAAGAAGAGGGUACGCCUGACCACCGGAAAAGAAGUUACCAGCACCCACCAUGAUGGCAUCUAUACCGUGGCCAACAACUAUAACUUCGGCAUCGUCUUCACUGAUAACAAAGAAGAGGUCGAGAAGUUACAGGCUCGGUACUUUUCAACCCGGCCUUAA
rnacentral:rRNA from 1 species